rnacentral:rRNA from 1 species
UGGGGAAUAUUGCGCAAUGGGGGGAACCCUGACGCAGCCAUGCCGCGUGAAUGAAGAAGGCCUUCGGGUUGUAAAGUUCUUUCGGUAUUGAGGAAGGUUGAUGUGUUAAUAGCACAUCAAAUUGACGUUAAAUACAGAAGAAGCACCGGCUAACUCCGUGCCAGCAGCCGCGGUAAUACGGAGGGUGCGAACGUUAAUCGGAAUAACUGGGCGUAAAGGGCACGCAGGCGGUUAUUUAAGUGAGGUGUGAAAGCCCCGGGCUUAACCUGGGAAUUGCAUUUCAGACUGGGUAACUAGAGUACUUUAGGGAGGGGUAGAAUUCCACGUGUAGCGGUGAAAUGCGUAGAGAUGUGGAGGAAUACCGAAGGCGAAGGCAGCCCCUUGGGAAUGUACUGACGCUCAUGUGCGAAAGCGUGGGGAGCAAACAGGAUUAGAUACCCUGGUAGUCCACGCUGUAAACGCUGUCGAUUUGGGGGUUGGGGUUUAACUCUGGCGCCCGUAGCUAACGUGAUAAAUCGACCGCCUGGGGAGUACGGCCGCAAGGUUA